rnacentral:sRNA from 1 species
UGAUAAUGUCUAAAAGCUUGACUUACCAGGUGAAUAUGGUGUUAGUGCAAGCUUUAACGUUUCUA